rnacentral:lncRNA from 1 species
GUUAUAUGUGUUCACAAAUGGAUCAUUAGCCGGCUUGGAAUAGCCUUGUAUAGCUUGAACUUGUUCCUUGAUGAAAGGUGAAAACUGUGCAGUCGUGGGACAUUCACUCACAUGGUAGGCUAAGCUAGCAUAGAUAGAAUAAAUCGCCUGAUAAUUAGAAGGUGAUGUGUAUUGUGUAGGAGAUUGUUGACCUAGGGCUAGGACUUGAUCUAACUUCUGGGCA